GAGAACCACAGAUAUGUUGAAAGCUGUCCUGGGUAGCAACUUCUAUCAAAAGAUUUCUACAAGUUGUCCUCUGGCCUGCACAUGAUCUGUGGCUGGAGCAUGCCGACACAGAUACACACACAAGGUGAAGAUGAGCGACAAGUGAAGUCAGUUUGGAAGCCCUGCCCUAGACUUCGACACUGUGGCAUCGGGCUUGGUGUACAGGACCAUGGUGAAAGAAUACAGCCUCCCUGAAUGUCUCCUCCUCACCUUUCCCUUCCUUUCCACUGGAUAACAAGAGCAUUGCCUCAGCUAACACAUGCAAACUCAAG